GAUUUGGAAUAGGGAUCUGUUCCACUCUCUCAUCCAACUCCCGAAUGCCGCCGCCGCUUCUUCUUCUCCAGCCGGGCCUGGGGAUGCCGCGUUGGGGACUGACUGGGAGAGGGGAGGUGGGGGUGUCGUCGGCCACCGGUAGAUAUGGCGGCCGCCCCACCCCGCCGCAAGGGAGGCACUGGAAGGCGGGGGACUUCCCGGGGACCGUCGACGCCCCCAGUUCACCCACCCCGCCACAAGGGAAGCGCCGCCCCUCGGAGUCAUCCCAACUCUCGGAUCGGAAGAGGCACUGGAAGGCGGGGGAAUUCCCGGAGACCGCCGCCGCCCCCAAUUCAGGAACGUCGAGGACUCCCCUCAAGAACGUCAAGAAGCGGAUGGACGCCCGCGCGGAGGCCAAGGCGUGGGCGUGCACCGUCACCGAAGCUCUCGCCGACCGCAUCAACUCCAAGAACUGGCAAGAGGCGCUCCAGGUCUUCGGGAUGCUCAAGGAGCAGCCUUUCUACCAUCCCAAAGGGGGCACCUUCAUGAAGCUCAUCCUGCUACUUGGCAGAUCAGGCCAGCCCUCCCGAGCGCACCAACUCUUCAACGAGAUGCUGCACCAAGGAUGCCCACCCACCCCCGAGCUCUACACGGCCUUGAUCGGCGCCUACUGCCGCAGCGACCUACUGGACCAGGCGCUCCAGCUCCUCACUGACAUGAAGGCCUCUCCGCUGUGCCAGCCUGACGCCUACACCUACAGCACCAUCAUCAAGGCCUGUGUCGAUGCCUCCAGAUUUGACCUCGUCGAUGCUAUGUACAACGACAUGGCUGAGCGCUUCAUAACACCCAACACAGUCACACAGAACAUUGUUCUCAGCGGCUACGGAAAGGCUGGACGGUUGGAUGACAUGGAGAGAGUGCUCUGUGCCAUGCUCGAAAGCACAACCUGCAAGCCGGAUGUCUGGACCAUGAACAUUAUCUUAAGCCUGUUUGGCAACACGGGGCAGGUUGAAUCGAUGGAGAAAUGGUACGAGAAAUUCCGAAGCUAUGGGGUCGAACCGGAGACUCGCACACUGAACAUCCUCAUUGGCGCCUAUGGGAAGAAGCGCAUGUACGACAAGAUGUCUGCAGUCAUGGAGUACAUGCGCAAGCUAGCGUUCCCAUGGACCACUGCCACAUACAACAAUGUGAUCGAGGCAUUUGCUGAGGUGGGUGAUGCCAAAAACAUGGAACACACGUUUAACCAGAUGCGCUCCGAGGGGAUGAAGCCAGAUACAAAGACCUUCUGUUGUCUAAUAAAUGGGUUUAGCAAAGCAGGCCUUUUCCAUAAGGUGGUGGGCAUGGUUAAGCUUGCUGAGAGGCUUGAUGUGCCCGCAAACACAUCUUUCCACAAUGCUAUUCUUGGCGCAUGUGCAAAAGCAGAUGAUCUGAUGGAGAUGGAGAGGGUCUUCAGGCACAUGAAGCAUAAACAGUGUGCUCCAGAUGCCGUGACAUACUCUGUCUUGGUGGAAGCUUAUCGGAAGGAAGGAAUGACAGACAAGAUUUACGCUUUGCAUCAGGAGAACCCAACUUUGGUUACAACUGAUCUUGUCAUGGUGUAACUGACCCACUGACUGAAUAAUGGUUCAGACACGUUUAAGCAUGGCUGCAUUGAUGGAAAAGUUACGUACUGUUCAUGUUCGGAAUUGAUAAUGCUACCAAGCAGAGUGGCAGCCAUGUCUGUUGGCCUGCAUAGUUAAUAUGCAUAUCUCCUGGCAACUGUAUUUCUGCGAUCUCUAGGGGGCUUCACUAUAUCAAGUGAAAUGUGCCGGAACUGCAGCAGUCGUUUUCUACCUCUGUUGUCAAAUAAUGAAAUAACGUAGAGUUUGGUUCGAGCUCCACCUGAUGACCAAUCCCUGCAAGGUUUGAAAAGUAUAAUUUUCUUGGACAUGCUCGUGAACUGGAAGUCACUUAAGAUAAUAUUGAUGGUUAAGACAUUAGUCAGUCAGAUGCAAGAAGUCAUAAGGCUUUGAAAGCUCCUCAGCAAGAUUUGGGUAGUAUGAUGGCUUAUCAGAACCGCUAGAGUUGUUGGUGCUUGUUUUUGCAUAAUCACUUUUGGCUGGGAGCUGUAGAACUGUUAGAGCUGUCGGUGCUUCUCUAAUAGACGACCAGCGAGGAUUCCCUGCUGUAGAACACAAGGUCAGGUGGUGAGCUGGGACUCCGGCUGAACACUGAAGGUGUAGUUAGGCGGAACUGAAUUGAGAAGUGAUGUGAUAGGCUAAAGUGAGCUGAGUGUUUUGGCUUUAAUCUUUCUCUGGGAAGGCUGUAAGGUUCGCGAUGUUUCGCGUUAAAACCUGGGAUGUAAACGGCGCUGUAAACGUUUUCUUGGUCCAUUUGCUAAUGCAUCUGAGACUGGGGACUUAAUAGUCCCUCUAAAAAGAGUUGGUAACAGCAUAACAAACUUUCGUGUCAGAUGUAUC